AGAGUUUGAUCCUGGCUCAGGAUAAACGCUGGCGGCAUGCCUAACACAUGCAAGUCGAACGGGGUUUAUAUAGCGGAACUCUCCGGAGGGAAGCCGUAUAAACCUAGUGGCGGACGGGUGAGUAACGCGUGGGGAACCUGCCCUGUACCGGGGGACAACAGCCAGAAAUGGCUGCUAAUACCGCAUAACCCUGCACUGCCGCAUGGCGGUGCAGGGAAAACUCCGGUGGUACAGGAUGGCCCCGCGUCUGAUUAGCUUGUUGGCGGGGUAACGGCCCACCAAGGCAACGAUCAGUAGCCGGCUUGAGAGAGCGGACGGCCACAUUGGGACUGAGACACGGCCCAGACUCCUGCGGGAGGCAGCAGUGGGGAAUAUUGCACAAUGGGGGGAACCCUGAUGCAGCGACGCCGCGUGGGUGAAGGAGCGUUUCGGCGCGUAAAGCCCUAUCGGCAGGGAAGAAGGAGGACGGUACCUGACUAAGAAGCCCCGGCUAACUACGUG
rnacentral:rRNA from 1 species